UAGUCGUGCGGCGGUGUUUCCCCUUCCUCUCGGCGGCGACGCCGACUCCCCGUGAGUUCGUCCGCCGCCUCCGCCGCCGCCGCCGCCGAUCCCCAUCCAUCCCGCGAGCGAGUAGGGGCGCCGUCGGUUGUCCUGCUGCUUCCGCCGUAUCCUGAUGAUCUCGGAGAAGAGGAUUGAUUUUGUCUGAUCAGGUGUUUAAUUCGGCACCAGAGUGGGAUCUAGGAACUGGUGGGAAAUGGAGAAGCCGUUAUAGCUUCGUCCAGGGUCAGUGAAGAUAGAUUUUGCCUCUUCCUUGUAUGCUGCCAAGGCAGAUAUCGCUGCCACCGCGGCAGCGCUCUCGCAUGCGCUUGGGCCGCCCUGCUAUCAGCUCCCACUGGCAAAAGUAAAUUCAUCACUGCCACUAUGGCCUCCAGUGACAUGCCCUUCAACAUUUGCCCAGAAGCGUCGUAUGUCAUUGCCUAGCCCACCUCCGGCCAAGAAGCUGCAAGUGCAGCAGUCUUCAUCCAUACUGCCACAAGAUUUUCCAAAGUUAGAGGUAUUGCCAGUUGAAAAGCCCACAAAGUUGCAGGAGCGGCGGUCACCGCAACAUGUAUCCCCAGAGCUGAAGCAAGGUUCACCGAAGAUGGAGAGGCCAUUGUUGCCAAGGCCUGCAACCUUUAUUGACGUGAUGCUGAGUUCUCAAAAGCCAUCUAGCGAUAUGUGGUCUGAAACAAAAGAUGUGACACUGACAAGGAAAACAAACUGCAGCUGCAAGUAUUCGAAAUGCCUGAAGCUGUAUUGUGAGUGCUUUGAAAAAGGCAGAUACUGCAUUGGUUGCAAUUGCACAAACUGUUGCAACAAUGUUAAUCAUGAGAAUGCAAGACAUGAUGCUAUCAAUGUUGCAUUGGAACGGAAUCCUGCAGCUUUUAUGCCAAAAGUUUCGAAUAGCACAGCCCACAACUGUGAGAGCAAAGCAGCAGAGGGUGAUAUUGUGGGUAAACAUACAAAGGGGUGUAAAUGCAAGAGAACAGAGUAUCUGAAGAAAUACUGUGAAUGCUUCAAAGCUAGUGUUUUCUGUUCAGAGAACUGCAGAUGUACGGGUUGCAAGAAUUUCAAGAGUAAUGAAGAUAGAAUUUCCCAGAAGAACACUGUUCAUGCACAUAAUGUGCAGAAUCCUGCUUCAAGUGGGAUGGUUGGACAAUCUGUGAUAAUUUUCCAUGCAGCAGAAAAUGACUCCAGUCUUUCAUUGGCUGCAUCUGUGAGCGAUCAUUCCAUUAACAACAACACUUCACAUGUAAUUCUUUUGCAGCAUACUUUUCAAAUUUGUCACGGGCCCUGCUUUCCUAAUAGGGCAAUUGCGUAUUUGACCCUCUUUUAAAAGCUAACUACCAAUUUGACUCUUUUUUUUCAACUUUGCUUAUUUGACCUUUUUUUUCAAAAUUAAAGAUAUGGUAUGACCCUAUUAUAUUAAGGGCUUCUAACGGUGUUAACUGAAGCACAAAAAGUCCCUUUUGCCCUUACUCAUUUGACCUUAUUACAUGUGGGACCCACCCGUCAGUUCUCUCUUCUCCUCUCCUCCUCUUUUCUCUUCUUCUUCUGACGCCGCCUCCUUCAUUCCUCCGCGUCGCUUCUUCCCUCGGCGCCGGCUGCCGUCGCCGCCGCCCCUGCCUCCCUUCUUCGCGCGCCAACCUCCGCCUCCCUCCCCGCUGCGCGCGCAGACGCCGACGCCACCGGCGCCGCCUCCGCAGACGCCGACGCCACCGAGCGCCGCCGCCGCCAGUCCCGGCUCCCCUCCCUCCCUUCGCCGGCGCCGGUCUUCGCCUCCCUCCCUUCGCCGGCGCCGGUCGCCUCCCUCCCCGUGCGCUGAUGCAGAUGCCGCCGCCGCCGCCACCGCCAGGCCUGGCUCCCCUCCCUCCCUUCGCCGGCGACGGCCUCCGCCUCCCACCCCGCGCACCGAUGCAGAUGCCGCCGCAGCCGCCUCUGUCGCCAGGCCCGGCUCCCCUCCCUCCCUUCGCCAGCGACGGCCUUCGCCUCCAUCCCCGCGCGCCGAUGCAGACGCCGCCGCCUCCGCCGCCAGGCCCAGCUCCCCUUCCUCCCCGCGCCGCGCGCCGGCCUCCGCCUCCCUCCCCGCUGCGCGCGUCAAGACAAGCUGGCGCAACACUUUUAGUUGAUACAAGUUGAAUAAUCAGAUGGCCACCAGCCCACCACUGCCAAGCACACGCCUUGCUCAGUCGGGCUUAGGGACACCCAUGAUUGUCAUGAACAGAACAAGCAUGUUGCAGAUCGUAGAAAUCCAGCUUAUAAGAAUCUAGAAAAGAUAAAAAAAGAACCAACUUUUGACUUAUAGCUUCUUUUUUGCAGUUUCCCUCAAAAACAAUUUUUUCCCUAAAAAAAGUUUCUUUUUUGCACCCUGUAUCUAUAUAUUCCCAUAAAAAGGAUAAAAAGUUGGACGAAUUUUUUAUUUUGGGAAAAAUUACAGUUAUCACAAGCUCUAAAUAGGCCCAAACUUAGAUUGAGGCUUUGUAGCGUUGCAUGCACCAUGCACGACAUGCGAACGAGCCCAACAUUUUGAGCCUGCUAUUUUUUUCAUUAUCUUGUGGGCUGGACUUUAUUGCACACUCACACUCCACAUACGCACCGUGAGCAGCUUGGUGAGGCUGAAAGCGCACCUCCUGUACACACGUAAAACGGAGUAACUCAUUAGCAUAUAAUUAAUUAAUUAUUUACUAAUUUUUUAAAAAUGAAUUAAUAUGAUUUUUAAAGCAACUUUACAAUAUAAUCUUUUUUUUAAAAAACACACUAUUUAACAGUUUGAAAAAUGUGCGCACGAAGAACAAUGGUAAUGAGUUGGGAACUCUCUGAAAGAAUUAACACAGCCGCAUGUCUAUUUGUCCCUUGUCUUCUAGUGGACAGCCCACAAUUAAUUAACCAAUCAUCCAUUGCCAAAUCCGAGUCCCAUUGGUUGUUUAUAUAUCAUCCCUUGUUUCGCUGGUUAGUAGAAAUCACUGCAUGUACCAAUAUAUACAUGGCUACACCUUGCGUACUGCAUACUCACAAGUAAACCUAUACUCAUCUAAGUGGCAGAACACAAAAAAUGUUUUUCCCUUGAUCAUACAUCCCCUUUUAAUAUCUUAAUUAGCGUGCAAAUGGACAAAUAAUGCGAGUGGAAGUAAGAGUUGAGCGUAGUAUUGGUGGUUUGAUGGUGAGACGCCCCGGGAUACAUUACUAUAUUAGGAAUUCAAUAUGGAGAGCCUUGUAACGGAUGUGUUCAAUCAGGACAUUUUAUAGCCGGAUACAACCAUGGUGUAUAAGUAAAUACGGUUUUCUUCUCUAGGCAUCAGCCUAAGCAUCCCAUUGCACAUGGCCUAAGGUGCCAUAAAUAGUUGGUGUGGAAUGAUGGACAGACCCAAUCAACACUACAAAGCUUAUCCACCCCAUUCAUCUUGUUACUUUUGUAUUUGCUAACCGAGGGUGUUAUAGGAGGAAGUUGUGGGUGAGAUUUGAUCUGUUAGGAAUAGAAUGUAUCGAGAACUAGAGUUGACACGACUUGAGAAAGAAGUGCUUGAGUGGUUAUGUUUCAAGAUGGGAAUGGUUAGGUUCUGGAUUGACCUAAACCAUUCCACAUGACCACUCUGGCCCAUGGUUUAGUAGGGGGCAACCCUUGAUGGUUUUAUUAAAUAAAUGGUUAUCCAAUGGAGCAAAGGGUUACCCUAUUAAACCUAUGAGACAUCAACCAAUUCAUACAACAGCCAGUUCAUAGAUUCAUGAAACAAAGGGUUAUCCAAGGUGCAUAAAAGAAUCAUUAUAUAUAUAUAUAUAUAUCUACUACUACUUAAAAAAUAAGAGGUGCUUCCAUCGUCCGUCAAAAAAACCGGGUGAAAAAAAACCGGGCAGAAAAAACCAAGUUUGUCCGAUAAAAAAACCGGACGA